GAAACCCCAAAAAAAGAACGUGAAAAAGAAAACUCUCCCCUUUUUUUUCAUAUCACAAACUUCAAAAAAAAUAAAAAUAAGCAAAACAAAUAAACAAAUAAAUAAAAAUAAAAUCUAACCUUUUAAAAUAAGAACAAAGCUAAGUCAAAAUAAUUGCCUCAAAGCACACUUGAGGACUUGAACCCAAGACCCCCAUGCUAAACUAACCCACCAG
rnacentral:lncRNA from 1 species